rnacentral:misc_RNA from 1 species
GCAAACUUGGUCAUUUAGAGGAAGUAAAAGUCGUAACAAGGUUUCCGUAGGUGAACCUGCGGAAGGAUCAUUAACAAAUUAUCCAUUAUAUGGAUGGUUAAAAAUCCAUAUCCACCUUCGUGUGCACAUCAUUGACAUGUUUGCUUUGGCAGUUUUGCGGGAGGGGGAAGGAGGUUGGGAGAGAGAGAGAGAAAAUAAACUCCUCCUUUUCUAACCCUUCCUUUCCGACGCUGCCAGAGUUUUUUUCUUCUCUUUUCACCUUGACAAAACUUUUGCUUUCCCUCGGGAAAGCAAAGCCUGAAAAGAAAACAUCCAAUUUUGUUUUUUUUGGGAAAACCAAAAAGAAAUUCCAAAUACAACUUUCAACAACGGAUCUCUUGGCUCUCGCAUCGAUGAAGAACGCAGC